ensembl:lncRNA
AUACUGACUAGGGUGACCAGUUGUCUGUCUUUAUGAAGGACUGCAGAGCAUUUUUAUAAAAAUAAGGCUUUUAUUGCCCAACAGGGAAACUUGUAACUCACCAUAAAGUCACAGGCUCUGCAAAUUUCUGUGAAUAGGAUCAAAACCAUCACAAAGCAAAUUAAGUGAGAAUAUUAUUUUCAGUUUUGCACAGUACGGUACGUUGCUGUGCAAAGGUUUUGAACCACCCCUCAUUUUGUGAUAUUUCCCUAGAGAAAUGGGAAAUGGAUGCAGCAAUUUGUUGAAAUAUCCAUACAUGGAACUAUACGUGAACUGCAACACCACUGGCUGAAAUGGAGACUGGGUCAACUGAAGUGCUGGAUGCAUCUCUCAGGCACCAUCAGUAGCACAGGAACAGAGCAGGAGGGAGCGAGAAAGAGAGCCAGGGGCAACAACAAGCGACAACAUCGUCACAUUACAGGGAGUGCAGAAUUAUUAGGCAAAUGAGUAUUUUGUCCACAUCAUCCUCUUCAUGCAUGUUGUCUUACUCCAAGCUGUAUAGGCUCAAAAGCCUACUACCAAUUAAGCAUAUUAGGUGAUGUGCAUCUCUGUAAUGAGAAGGGGUGUGGUCUAAUGACAUCAACACCCUAUAUCAGGUGUGCAUAAUUAUUAGGCAACGUCCUUUCCUUUGGCAAAAUGGGUCAAAAGAAGGACUUGACCGGCUCAGAAAAGUCAAAAAUAGUGAGAUAUCUUGCAGAGGGAUGCAGCAGUCUCAAAAUUGCAAAGCUUCUGAAGUGUGAUCAUCGAACAAUCAAGCGUUUCAUUCAAAAUAGUCAACAGGGUCGCAAGAAGCGUGUGGAAAAACCAAGGCGCCAAAUAACUGCCCAUGAACUGAGAAAAGUCAAGCGUGCAGCUGCCAAGAUGCCACUUGCCACCAGUUUGGCCAUAUUUCAGAGCUGCAACAUCACUGGAGUGCCCAAAAGCACAAGGUGUGCAAUACUCAGAGACAUGGCCAAGGUAAGAAAGGCUGAAAGACGACCACCACUGAACAAGACACACAAGCUGAAACGUCAAGACUGGGCCAAGAAACAUCUCAAGACUGGUUUUUCUAAGGUUUUAUGGACUGAUGAAAUGAGAGUGAGUCUUGAUGGGCCAG